rnacentral:rRNA from 1 species
GAUGAACGCUGGCGGCGUGCCUAAUACAUGCAAGUCGAGCGAACAGACGAGGAGCUUGCUCCUCUUACGUUAGCGGCGGACGGGUGAGUAACACGUGGAUAACCUACCUAUAAGACUGGGAUAACUUCGGGAAACCGGAGCUAAUACCGGAUAAUAUAUUGAACCGCAUGGUUCAAUAGUGAAAGACGGUUUUGCUGUCACUUAUAGAUGGAUCCGCGCCGCAUUAGCUAGUUGGUAAGGUAACGGCCUACCAAGGCAACGAUGCGUAGCCGACCUGAGAGGGUGAUCGGCCACACUGGAACUGAGACACGGUCCAGACUCCUACGGGAGGCAGCAGUAGGGAAUCUUCCGCAAUGGGCGAAAGCUUGACGGAGCAACGCCGCGUGAGUGAUGAAGGUCUUCGGAUCGUAAAACUCUGUUAUUAGGGAAGAACAAAUGUGUAAGUAACUAUGCACGUCUUGACGGUACCUAAUCAGAAAGCCACGGCUAACUACGUG